rnacentral:rRNA from 1 species
GAUGAACGCUAGCGGGAGGCCUAACACAUGCAAGCCGAGCGGUAUUGUUUCUUCGGCAAUGAGAGAGCGGCGUACGGGUGCGUAACACGUGUGCAACCUGCCUUUAUCUGGGGGAUAGCCUUUCGAAAGGAAGAUUAAUACUCCAUAAUAUAUUGAACGGCAUCGUUUAAUAUUGAAAGCUCCGGCGGAUAGAGAUGGGCACGCGCAAGAUUAGCUAGUUGGUGAGGUAACGGCUCACCAAGGCGAUGAUCUUUAGGGGGCCUGAGAGGGUGAUCCCCCACACUGGUACUGAGACACGGACCAGACUCCUACGGGAGGCAGCAGUGAGGAAGAUUGGUCAAUGGGUGCAAGCCUGAACCAGCCAUCCCGCGUGAAGGACGCCUGCCCUAUGGGUUGUAAACUUCUUUUGUAUAGGGAUAAACCUACCCUCGAGAGGGUAGCUGAAGGUACUAUACGAAUAAGCACCGGCUAACUCCGUG